rnacentral:lncRNA from 1 species
UUUUAAAUAACUAAACUACACAGAUUGUAGUGGUUAAAAAUAACUAGACAGACUUUAAUAUUUCUUAUAGUACUGAAGAACUAUUUUGAUCAAAAAACCCAGGAGAUUUUGUAAUUAUCUGUAGUCAUAAUUGCUUGGAGCCUUAUACUCAAGACUGUUAUGAAAUGUAUGCAAGAACUAGCAAAAGAAUGUAGAUAUCAUUUACUACAUUUAUUUAUCGACAACCUGGAAAAAGGAACUGAUGGAAUAAAUGAUGCCUAUGAAGCUAUUCAAGGUGAGAUAGAUUAUCAAAUAAGAUAAUAAAGAAGUUUUGUUUUAAAUCCCAAGACUACCACUUUAAAAAUUAGCUUUACUGACGGAUAAUUUACAUCUAUCAAAAGUUACCAAUAUGAUGACAGUCAUUUGUUUUUGCCAAAUUAAUGUUCAUAUGCCUGUAGAUAAAAAGUGGUAAUGAGGCUAGACCUGAGGUGCUUCUGACAUCAAUAUUCUACAAUCUCUAUGUAAAACAGCCUCACUGAAAUCAUUUCAGCAAGGCAGGAAGAUCCACAAAACAUGCUGACAUAUAUCUAUAUGUAACUUCCUUCAAGGACAACUGCAAUU